CGGUCAGGACACUUGCCUUCAGGCGCUUUGCAGUUGCGAGCAUGGCGUAGAAACAGGAGCCAUUUCUGUUGAUUUCUGAAUCUCGGAUCUUGAUUCCCAUUUCCAUAUCUACAAGAGGUAUCUACAGGGUUUUGAGGAUUAGGAGAUUCUGAUGUAGUGGAUAUAUGACUUUGAACUAUAGACCCUCCAGACAUAUUAUUGGGCUGAGCUUCGUCCGUUCCUGACAUUCUCUGACGGAAAUCAUUCUGAAUGUGCAGUUGGUUCGACAUACUAUUAGACAUUUGAGUAUGUUCCUGUGACUGAGAUUGCCACUGCCCAGGCAGACCAGAUUCUGAUUUCACUCCAACAGAAAGGUUGCUAAAACUGUUAAUAGAGUCUGAAGCCAUACUCUGCGGGUGCAACAUCUGCUGUAUCUGUUGGCUAUUUUGGGGAGCUGAUGUACACAUAUCACUCUGACUUGUGGCAGGGAGAAUCUGAGAACCUGCAUGACGGUCAUCUGCAUUGUUCUGGUAUUGAUUCUGAAACUGAGAAAGCUGGAAUUGCUCAGGAGUCUGGGAGUGGAUAGACUCGCUAGGGUUUUCGAUUCCAGGUUCGUGUUUAACGUGUGUACCCAUGUCAGAUGCCACAUGAUUUUGCCCAAAAGCAUCAUGACUUAUAAAUCUCUGUUGCUGCUGGCUCUGCUGCUUCAACUGCCGUUGACGAAGAAACUGCUGCUGUUGGUGUGUCGUACUGGUAGUGGUUCCCUUGACAAAGACUUAGGAACGCUUGCCUAGUAUCGAAGAACUCGCUUUCGAGUAUCUCAUCCUUGUCCCUUGUAUCUGCAGGAAUGUCCGUAAUCUCAACCUGCAAAAUCAAUACCCCGCAAAUAUUUAUAAAACUGACCGCAGACAAAAGGUGAAGGACACUAUCCUCAACAAGCGAAUGCAACUCACAGGAUAUAACGCAUGCUUAUCCUUAAAAUUAACAGGAUGCCUUUCCCUGUCUUCACGCCGCUCUUCAGCCUCAUAACACCUAAAGAGGAGAAUAACAUUUAUUAAUAUUUAUUCUUAGUGCGCAGAAGAAGGGAGAAAGGAAGAGUUCUUACUUGUCACAAAUCUGAAAGUGUUUGCACUGACUACAGCGCCAACGAUUUCCAGAUACCAUCAGCAUACAGCAAUGUGUGCAAGAAGGUUGCAAGUGGACCAUGAUAAAGUCCUCCUUCAUUGGAUGAAUGGUCUCACCAAGCUGGAAACAAAGGUGAAUAUAAAUUAACAAGAAGAACAAAAAAAAAAUAGUAAAAUGGAUAGAAAGUAAAAAGAUCACUUUAUGCAUUAGCAGCAGAUCCUUGGAUGCAUUCCCAGACAGAUCAGUCUGCCCAGAAGCCUUAAGAGCCCUUUUUGUGAUUUUUUGCUUGAGCAUUCCUUUCUUAUUUCCCUUUCUGCCGUCUUCUUCUUGACUCAUCUGGAAUAUAAGAUCCUCUGCUGCACCUGGCCAGUAGUCACCAUCGAAAUACGGGAGCCUAGCUGCAGUAACCUUAGCUCUACAUUCCCCAGUUUGCAUAAAGAAAUGAUCAUAUAGAUUAAUAGUUUCCGCCACAAUGCCCUCCUUUGAAGCUUUUUUCAACAUUGCUAAGUACCUGAAAUUAACAACAUGAGAAUUUGGAUUAUGUAAACCACUAUUUCAUACAAAAACUAGUUUUAUUCUCAAAAACUGACCACUCUCGUAGUUUAUCAGAUUUUGGCGUCUUCUGAAUUUCUGGAUGACAAUAUAAGAUAUAGUCCUCGCCCUUGAGCGGCGGACAAGCCCAUAUGUAGCAGCUCGUGAAACCACGCAGCUUGCAGUAUUCUAGGUAACCGAUCUAAACACAGGAUCAAAUUAUACCCUUAAUCCUCCAUACAGUUUAGAAAGAAAGAAAAAACUUAGAUAUUAGCUGAUAACCAAGGUUUUGAGAAGACCAGGACUUACCAGAAUUUCGUGGUAAACGAAAGUGCGCAGAGCCUCUCCGUUAUAAGAUCUAACCUCGGGUCUAAAGUACUUUACAGAAUCCAAAUAAGAGAGAUAAACUCGGCGUUGAUUAGGAAAUGCGCAUUCAGAACCAAAUUCUUGGACGUACAUCCCAAAUAAGCAUACUUCUACACCUUCAAUCUUUUGGAACAACAGAACCACCUUGCCCAAUAAAAUGGUGUGUGAGAAUGGGUGAAGGAUACUUCAAGAGAGGAUCAAAAAAGAAAUGCAUAAAUUCACAAUGAGCUUUGAUCAUUCUUACCUUGGACUUGUAUGCAAACUCUGUUGGGUAGCUGUCUUCCCGAAAAAUAUCAAGAAACCGGGGUUUGACUUCCAGCUUCUUGUCAACAGAUGAAACAACUCUAAUCACAAGGGACUCGGCAGUAGGAACCUGCCAGUAUCAAUUCAAAGAAAAAACAAUGUCAGCUUCAAUCUAUUGUUUCCAACCAGUAAUAAAAGUAUAACAAAUAGAAAAAAUGAGCUCGCAAAUGCAAACAACACAAGAAAGACAUAAAACCUUAACAAACUCCACCAGUAGAUUACCUCAUCAAAGCUUUUUCCUUGAGCCCUGGCUCUCUCUGUUCUUUCCUGCUUGAGCUUCUUAAACAACCGCUGCUCUAUAUGGUCACUGAGAAUUGUUCUCGGUAGGUCUUUAGCUCCAAGAACAGCACUCUGAGGUAAGGGUUUCCUCUUACUUUGUUCCACUUCUGCUAUAUAGCAAUAAGGGCAGGUAUACUCAGCUUGCCCUCCGUCAUUCCUUCGCCCAUUAAAUAAAGCACAGAUCUGAUGCUGCCAAGCCUCACAUUUAUCACAUUGGACCCACUGCAGAGGUAGAAACAGAUUACAGAAUGCACGAAAAAAUCAGGAGACAAACACAAAACAAAACUACAAAGUGGAGAGUUGUUUACCCAUUCUUCAGUCUCUUCAUCAUUUUUCUUUUUCUCGAGUCUUGCCUUAGGCAUAGGCGUCCCUUCAGCUACUAUAGUGUCCCCACGGGACUCAUUAUAACACGGAAUACAAAAGUAGUGACGAGUGUCACCAGCUCCUACAGUGUAAUACAUCGCAUUUCUCUUGAUGCGGGCACCACAAGGGGUACAAUAAAUAGGCGGUGGCUCAAAGGUAAGCUUCUCCACUGCACACAGUUGGCAGGAGUUCUCACUCAUUGAAUGCUCCAUAGCCUGAUUCUUUUCAGCUUUGGCUUUACUCUGCAACCACAUAAAAGAAACCAGAUUAAUGUUAAGUACAUAUAAGAAGGGAAACUACUCAUCAAUCAAGCUCUUGUGUGAACAUCAUAAGCUACCAAAAAUCACAAACCUGGCCAACCCACUGACGAAGACCCCGGAUAUGUUCUCUUACUUGCUCAGGAGUGAACAACUCAGUUAACGAAACACCCUUUAUCUCUGCUUUUCCAGAUUUUGGUAGAGGUUUAACGGACUCUGCCAUAAUUUCUUUCUUAGGUGGCUCAGCUUCUUUCUCAAUUUUGCAUUUCUCUUGCCGAGGUGAGACAUCAGACAAAUCUUGUUUAACUGCUUCAAUGACAGGCCUUUGCUUGGGAAUAUUUUCAGCAAUUCCAAUUUUCGUCUCUUUGAAACCGGGCCGUGCCUGGACAGAAGCUUCAGAAACCUCAGCUUUCACUUCAGAAUACCUAGAAGGUGCACGUACAUCACUCUGCCUAUGAUCCAUUCUUUCAGCGUACUGAGACGAUUGUGCUUCUGUUAUGGAAACAACUGAGCUCUUACAACUUUCCGUCUCAAUGUCCACGGGUUGAGAAGGCUGUUCCACCUUCAAUCGUUUUAAUGAAGGUUGCAAAUGCUUCGAAAUAUCAGCAACAGGCGGAGCACAAGAUGUUGCACCAGUAGAGGUCUGUACUGCAUCAUUGGAUAUUCCAGCUUCAUUCACUGACCUUGCUGCACCACUUUCAGUUCUUAAACGAGCUAGCCGUGCAUUUGCCUGUUGCUGUAAGAAGGCCUUCACAGGAAUACAGACAGGACAGUUAGAUUCCUUACAACUUCGAUGGUGAUUAAUCAAUGUCUUUGUGGGUCGGCAGCGCGGGUAUGAACAUUGAGGCGCAUCACAACUGUCCAUGUGCUUCCAGAGCUUCUGUACCGUAACGCAAUUCCGGUCAGGACACUUGCCUUCAGGCGCUUUGCAGUUGCGAGCAUGGCGUAGAAACAGGAGCCAUUUCUGUUGAUUUCUGAAUCUCGGAUCUUGGUUUCCAUUUCCAUAUCUACAAGAGGUAUCUACAGGGUUUUGAGGAUUAGGAGAUUCUGAUGUAGUGGAUAUAUGACUUUGAACUAUAGACCCUCCAGACAUAUUAUUGGGCUGAGCUUCGUCCGUUCCUGACAUUCUCUGACGGAAAU
rnacentral:lncRNA from 1 species